UACGUAGGGUGCAAGCGUUGUCCGGAAUUACUGGGCGUAAAGAGCUCGUAGGCGGUCUGUCGCGUCGGCUGUGAAAACCCGGGGCUCAACCCCGGGCCUGCAGUCGAUACGGGCAGACUAGAGUGCGGUAGGGGAGACUGGAAUUCCUGGUGUAGCGGUGAAAUGCGCAGAUAUCAGGAGGAACACCGGUGGCGAAGGCGGGUCUCUGGGCCGUAACUGACGCUGAGGAACGAAAGCGUGGGUAGCGAACAGG
rnacentral:rRNA from 1 species